rnacentral:antisense_RNA from 1 species
GGAUAACUUAAAUUAAUCAAAUAGAAAUUUAAGGCAAUCAUUAAACUUUUAAGGCAAAUCUGCUGGGUUGGACAAAACCCUUGACUACUUUAGUCAUUGAGUUAACGCUACUCAAACGAGCUAGUUGUGUUAUUAAAAGAAUAUGCAUUCAUCAUCUCUUUGAUAUUUCCAAGCAUCUCUCAACAUCUCUCUAUAUCUAUAAACCUUCGUUUCACUAUUUCCUAUUCUAAAUAUAAUGUUAUACCGUGACUUUGAAAUUCUUUGAAGUCUUGGUAGCUAUACAAGUAAAGGAGAAUAGCAUAUUGGCACCGUGGGAAAAUGUGAUAGGUGAGAUGCCACUCCCAAGCAGCAAAUGGCCAAAUAUAGUUUGAUUAAUCAGUAUUUAAGAUGAAUUGAGCCAGAAUUGUGAUAUUUUCAUCAGUAAAUAGCACUAUUUAUUCAAAUAAGCAAAAAAGUGACUUAACAUAUUGUUAAAAAAAAAAAUCACUUUAGAGAUUAUCUUCAGAGAGACUCAGUCCAUGAGACUUAUGCUGUGGAGUUGUCUACACUUAGUAAAAAGCUCAUUGAUUGAUAUAUGAGGAAGUAUCAAUCUGGUUUGGCAUUUCAGCAAUGUUGACUUCGAAUCUACUCUGUACGUCGUUGAGUACUUGAGAGUCAGUUUGAGAAGAGACCAUGGUAAUUGCAAGACCUUUUGUACCAAAUCUACCGGCUCUUCCGACUCUAUGAAGAUAAGAAUCUGUAUUCUCUGGCAUAUCGUAAUUAAUUACAAUAUUUACUCUCUCAAUAUCAAUACCUCUUCCAAAUAAGUCGGUUGCUACCAUAAUUCUUUUCUCAAAGUUUUUGAAUUGUUGGUAUCUUGAAAUUCUUUCUUGCUGGCUAAGAGCUGCAUGAAUACAAAUUGAUGGAAAGCUACAUUCUGUAAGAAGCUUAUGAAGUGCUUGGGCUCUAGAGACACUUUUGACAAAGAUAAUCACCUGGUUAAACUCUAAUUGAUCGAGUAAAUCAUUAAGCUUUCUAUUUUUUUCAGAUUCACCCAACUUUACAUAGUAUUGUAGUAAACCAUGUAAUGUCAAUUUUGUCUCGUCAUCAACGAAAAUCUCAACAGGAUUCUGCAUAAAUUUUCUGCAUACAUCUCUAAUCUCCUUUGUCAUUGUAGCACUGAACAUCAUUACCUGCUUCUUUCUUGGAGUACUCAUGAAGAUCUCUUGGACGUCUUUUCUCAUGUCAAGAGACUCUAGACAUUUAUCGCAUUCAUCCAAAACAAAAUGAGCAAUACCCUCAGUCACUAACUUCUUCUGUCUAAUUAACGCAAUUAUUCUUCCAGGCGUACCAAUCAAAAUAUUUGGUGUAGAGUUUGAAAGCAUAUCUAUAUCCUUUUGUAUGGGGAUGCCUCCAUAAACUACCUGAGGCUUCACAUUCUUGAGGUAUUUUGAAAAUCUAUCAAACUCAUUCUUCACCUGGAAAGCUAACUCCCUAGUAUGGCCAAUGCAAAUGCAUUCAACAUUCUUACUCUCUUCAUCAGGAUUUAACUGCUGGAGGAUCGACAAUACAAAAACUGCUGUCUUUCCCAUUCCCGAUUUAGCUUGACAUAAAAUGUCAACACCUGUGAUAGCAUGGGGAAUUGUCUCAUGCUGCACCUCAGAAGGAUGCUCAAACCCUGCAUCACCUAUGGCUCUAAUUAAUUCAGGCUUUAAGAAAAAGUCCCUAAAUCCGGAGGCGUGAAUAGCUACAUAAUUACCUCUACCCACCUUAGAUCCCUCAUCUGCUCUAGACUCCUCCUCAAUUCUUGUUGUAGUCUCCUCCUCUUCGUAGUCUACUAAUUCCUCAGUAUUUUGAACAGACAUUCUAACAACUUAAUUUAAUUAUAAAUACAACUAAUGUACUUAUUACUUUCUCUGGAAUUUUUACGCCAAAAAAGUGGUCCGGUAUUUGUGCCAGUCAAG